UGGCAGGCCGCACGGCCAGUCGUCAGUCAGUUGGCCAACAAACUGGUAGCGUCUGGUGUGGCGAGCCAACAAAAGGCUGGCAGGGCGGCCAACACCGGACAGGGCCCGAAUCCGACUGCGGGUCCGGGUACCGGGUCCAUGUCCGGGCUGCAUCCACAACACGGCUGCCAAUUCAGCGGAGUUUGGGUCUCAAUUUGACGCGUAGCCAGCCAAGAAGAGUGCUGGCCGGCCAACAACAAAAACAGGUGACGCAGGAUGUGGCCAAAUGGGAAAAGCAGCAGCAGGAGGAGGAGGAAACGCAGCGCACUUUUUUGGCCACGGUCCGCGUUUGAUUAGCCAACUCAAACAUCAGGGCCAAGAUCAGGGCAAUUGACAGCUCACCCUCUGCUUGGCACUCGGUCACAGAGACACACAGUGCUACUCGGUCGCCAUGGAUGGACCACAGUGAAGCCUGGGCAGUAUGAAAUAAACACCUGACGCUGCCCAAUAAUGAUACCUCCACGUCCGUCUCGAUUAUACAGCAAAUAAGAAACAAUAAAUAAACAAUUAAAUAAGAUAUGGAGUAUUGGCUCCGCAACGGCCAACAAGAACAGGCAACAACCAGUUGCUCUGUGGUGCUGAAAGUGAGUGUGUAACAGUGUGUGCCUUUGCAAAUAGCCGAAAAACUGAACAACUGACCAACGUGCCAAAAAUGAAAGGGAGGAGGAGGUGGUGGCAACCCUGGCUCGGACCCAAGCAGCAAGAACAACUGCUAGUUGGCAGGAGCUGAUUGUUUCAUCUGGCCAGGCUUAAUGAAAGGACUCGGACUCGUCCGCGUCCUGGCCACAGCCGCAUGUCAAACGCAGCCAGGCAAACGCCAGUGGAGCCCCAAAGGAUAAGCAUCGCCCAAGACAUCGGAGGAUGCUAUCCAAAAAUAUUUAAACAUGUAAAAUACAAAGGACUAAGAUCCUAACUAAUAUAAAACAGCAAUAUUUCGAAGUGGAUGGUAACUCACCUGCAUGGAGAAACAAUAAAAACAAGCAACUUGAAAUGACAAAACAAAUUCAUAAUAUAAAAGAAUAACAACUAUAUAGUAGUAAUAGCCAAGAAAAACUUUUAAAAAACCCAAAAAAAAUGUAUAAUACCCAACCUACAACUAUUUUUCAAAUAGUUUAAAUAGUGCUUUAUCCCCAUAUGAACCAUAAUCACAUAUGCUCUGACCAUAAACUACUCAACAAGCAAUAAAUUGAGCAAUUAUUCUAUAAUCCCCUGCAAGUAUGACGUUAUAAACACUUAUAAAUACGAAAUAGUACCAAGCAUAAACCAUUAGUGCAAUACAGAACGUCUAUAAUCCAACGUCAAAAGUUUUAUAACGCAGCGAUACUUGUUUAUAUUAAGCACUUUCAAACAUAAUAUUUAACCUAAAUCAGCGCGGGAAGUUUUCGGCUUGGUGAAAGCAUAAGAUGUAAGGCACAGCUGAAAAGAAAGGAAAGAAAUAUUUCAAAGGAAGGAGGAGUGGAAAACAUCUGAGCGCGGAAAAGUGCUGGAAAAUGCAGCUGAAGGCCCAAAGGAAGCCUCGUUGGCCAAUUAAGGAGGAGAACCAGAAAGUCGAGCCGAUUUUCCGCUGCAACCGCCGAAGGUCUGACCAACCAAUGGCAACGCGCGGCGGCAACGAAGCCCGGCCAAAAAGGGGGGAAUCCCCGGGAAACGGGGGGCAAACCAGCAGCCCUGCAAUGCAUUUCUUUUGGCAACAUGUCAAGCGGACCCUCACACACAGCCACACGGAAAACUUGCGACCAACAAGGAUACUCUCUCUGCCCCGCUCACAUGCGCAUCGAGUGGUAUACGUAAUAUAUCAAGUAUACGCCUGUUGGCCGGGCAAAGUCAGUGAUGUGAGUGUGUGCGAGUGGUCGUGAAAAAGGCAGUGCUGCCAACUGCAUUGCCGGGCUGCCAUCGACUACAACUCCCCGACCCGAGGGAACACCACCCUCCUCCCAGCCAGGAGGCCAACGACGAGUCCUUUUCGGAGGCAGCGCAUUGGCUGCAGGACGACCGGCGACAGGACGACCAAUCACCAAUCACAACGGGGCUUGUGCGCACUAUCCUAUCCCGGCCGUUCGCAGGACGAGAAGCACGGCAUCCAGGACCUCAGCCGGAGACCCCAAGCCGAUUGCCAAUCUCUUAGAUUUUAUGCCAAAAGUCUCCUAUAUUAUAUCUUUUUAUUUAGUUUAGUUCUCUAGUCGUAAGUCACAUGCCCAAGCCGACGCCCCCAGAACAUCGGGGGGCGUGACACAUUAGUUUAACGAUAGAGUUAUUAGUUUCAAGCAGAAGCUAUACGAGGAAGAUUUCAAGAAUGCAUAAGAGAAAAAGGAAUAAAAACUGUAAAGCUUCAGAGCGGCACAACAAA